CCUGGCGGCCUUAGCGCGGUGGUCCCACCUAACCCCAUGCCGAACUCAGAAGUGAAACGCCGUAGCGCCGAUGGUAGUGUGGGGUCUCCCCAUGCGAGAGUAGGGAACUGCCAGGC
rnacentral:rRNA from 1 species